GAAUCUAUCAUGAUAAAUAGACAAAACUCAAUUAAAUCUUCAAAUCAAUAAAUUUAACAAAAGUUCGUAGUUCAUUUAAAAAAAAACUUGUUUUAACGUACAAUUCAUUAACACGACAACAGUACAUGAAGAAUGUCUGUUAGCCUGUGGCAUGUUUUCCCCAAAAGGAAGGUAAAUCAAAACAAUUACAUAAUAAAAUGAACCUCAUGGCACAGCUUGAUACAACAGCCGUGUUCGAACCCUGAAUAGUUUUGCCAAGUAUUGAUACAGCAUUCAAACUUGAUUCAGAUAAUUUGAUAACGGGGCCUAAAAUGCAAAAUCUGAGUACUCGAUAGAUUCGACAUAUUUAUGAAUCCUAACUAUUUAAUUUGUUGAAAUCAAAGGAAAGGUUAGUUUACACUCUGGUUUGGCCAUGGAACAGCUGGAAAAAUGGGCCCAAAACUUUAAAUCUAUCUACAUGUUAGAAUUGGCUGAUAAAAAAGAAACUGUAAUGUUGGACCAUUUCAAAACCAGACACCGAAUCCAAAAUCUAAAUAAUUAUUAGAAGAUGUAGUAUGAGUGCAAAUGAGACAACACUCCAUCCAAGUCACAAUUUGUAAAAGUAAACCAUUAUAGGUGAACGUACGGUCUUAAACAUGGAGCCUUGGAUCCAAUGAAAAUAACUAGCGAUCAAGGGCCAAUAUAAGUGGUGUUCAACCGUUGGAACGGGAAUACCAACUGUCUAAUCUAAAAAAAAACAACAAGGAACGAGAAACAUGUUUGAACCACAUCAACAAACAACAACCACUGCACAUCAGGUUCAUGACGUAGGACGUAGGACGGGUGAAAACAUUUUCAGCGGGUUUCAACGUUUUAAUAAUUACCAAUUGCACGUUCACAAUGACCUAAAACACUAGUGUAACAUCACAGCAUGGAGACACACUAUAAAAUAUUAGUUGAAAUGGCUUUAUUGAAUCAAAAACCAUAUAAACACAAAAAAGUGAAUACACACUGAACGAAUAAAUUUUAUUUAUAAUCUAUGAAGCAAUGUAAAUACAAACCCAAUAAAAUAAGUGAUGUAAUACACAAUUGGAUUCAGUAUAUAAAUGAACCCUAAUAAUUCAAACAUGUUAAACCCCAUUGGUAUUUGUCAAGAAAUAAGCUAUUUAUUCAAAAAGAAUAGCAAAGUAUCCCCCUAUUUUCCUAAAGAAAAUCCUUUUUUUACCCUUUUGAUCCUUAGUUCCUAUAUGGUUUGGGCCAUAAUUCUCCCCUCCCCCCAAAAAUCAAUAAAAUCCAAAUCUUUUGUUUGAGAAAUGGUCCCUUGCAGUACAAAUUUAUAGAAAUCUACCUGUAUACACUUAUACACAAUUGUCCUGCAGCUAGAAAAAACGUUGGCCCAUUUUUUAGCAUCUAAAAUUAAUUGAUAGUUAACGUACUUUCGUCUAUAGGAUGGUUGGAAGGUACAAAAAUAUAUUUGAAACAAGAAUGUGUCCCCAGUACACGGAUGGCCCACUCACAUCAUGAUGUGGACCGUGAAAUUGGGGUCAAAACUCUUAUGUUGCAUUAAAAUUUGAAAGAUCAUAGCAUAAGGAACAUGUGUACUAACUUCAACUUCAUCAAAAACUUCCUUGACCAAAAGCUUAAACCUGAAGCGGGACGAACGGAAAGUACGGACGAACGGACGAACGGACGGACGUAUUAAUAGACAGACAGACGAACGGACAUACAGACCAGAAAACAUAAUGCCCCUCUGCUAUCGUAGGUGGGGCAUAAAAAUUAUCAAAGAUACCAGGCUUAGAAAAUUCUCAUAAUUGAUAUAAUCUUCAUAUAAGUGGCUCUCAAAUGAAAACAGUCUGACGAAAGAAUUGAAAACCAGAUGUUUCGAAAUUGUUUUACGAUAUAUUGUGCACUUUUUACGCUACACGGUAAUGUUCUUCUCUCUUUUAAUAAACCGUUCAAUGGUACAAGUUAUAUUUAGUAAUAUUACGUUAGACUUUAAAUAAAGAACUGUCAUUGUCUUUCUGAAUUUAUCAAGGACAUUAACAAGUGAAAGCCAAGAAAUAAUGUUAGUACAUCUACAAACAUAAGGGCGCCAAACAGUGACUUUCAAUAACAAUGCAAGCUAUUUGGAAAAUGAUUCAGUAAGUAUUUACUUAAUCAAUAUAAAUUUUAGGCAAGUAAAAGCUUUGAAUUAUGAGUUCU
rnacentral:lncRNA from 1 species